rnacentral:rRNA from 1 species
CCUACGGGCGGCAGCAGUGAGGAAUAUUGGUCAAUGGGCGCGAGCCUGAACCAGCCAAGUAGCGUGAAGGAUGACUGCCCUACGGAUUGUAAACUUCUUUUAUAAAGGAAUAAAGUGAGGCACGUGUGCCUUUUUGUAUGUACCUUAUGAAUAAGGAUCGGCUAACUCCGUGCCAGCAGCCGCGUGAAUACGGAGGAGACGAGCGUUAUCCGGAUUUAUUGGGUUUAAAGGGAGCGUAGAUGGGUUGUUAAGUCAGUUGUGAAAGUUUGCGGAUCAACCGUAAAAUUGCAAUUGAUACUGGCAGCCUUGAGUACAGGUGAGGUAGGCGGAAUUCGUGGUGUAGCGGUGAAAUGCUUAGAUAUCACGAAGAACUCCGAUUGCGAAGGCAGCUUACUAAACUGCCACUGACAUUGAUGCUCGAAAGUGUGGGUAUCAAACAGGAUUAGAUACCCUUGUAGUC